rnacentral:sRNA from 1 species
AAUGUUACAUUUAAAAUGUACUUCCCAAAUAAUAUAGUAGGAUAAA